AGAGUUUGAUCCUGGCUCAGAUUGAACGCUGGCGGCAUGCUUUACACAUGCAAGUCGAACGGCAGCACGGGUGCUUGCACCUGGUGGCGAGUGGCGAACGGGUGAGUAAUAUAUCGGAACAUGUCCGGAAGUGGGGGAUAACGUAGCGAAAGUUACGCUAAUACCGCAUAUGCCCUGAGGGGGAAAGGGGGGGAUCGCAAGACCUCUCGCUUUCGGAGUGGCCGAUAUCAGAUUAGCUAGUUGGUGGGGUAAAGGCCUACCAAGGCGACGAUCUGUAGCUGGUCUGAGAGGACGACCAGCCACACUGGGACUGAGACACGGCCCAGACUCCUACGGGAGGCAGCAGUGGGGAAUUUUGGACAAUGGGCGCAAGCCUGAUCCAGCCAUGCCGCGUGAGUGAAGAAGGCCUUCGGGUUGUAAAGCUCUUUCAGCCGGAAAGAAAUCGCACUGGAUAAUACCUUGUGUGGAUGACGGUACCGGAAGAAGAAGCACCGGCUAACUACGUGCCAGCAGCCGCGGUAAUACGUAGGGUGCGAGCGUUAAUCGGAAUUACUGGGCGUAAAGCGUGCGCAGGCGGUUCGCUAAGUCUGAUGUGAAAGCCCCGGGCUCAACCUGGGAAUGGCAUUGGAAACUGGCGGGCUGGAGUGUGGCAGAGGGGGGUGGAAUUCCGCGUGUAGCAGUGAAAUGCGUAGAGAUGCGGAGGAACACCGAUGGCGAAGGCAGCCCCCUGGGCUGACACUGACGCUCAGGCACGAAAGCGUGGGGAGCAAACAGGAUUAGAUACCCUGGUAGUCCACGCCCUAAACGAUGUCAACUAGGUGUUGGGGAAGCGAUUUCUCAGUACCGUAGCUAACGCGUGAAGUUGACCGCCUGGGGAGUACGGCCGCAAGGUUAAAACUCAAAGGAAUUGACGG
rnacentral:rRNA from 1 species